rnacentral:rRNA from 1 species
CAGCAGCCGCGGUAAUACGUAUGUCACAAGCGUUAUCCGGAUUUAUUGGGCGUAAAGCGCGUCUAGGUGGUUAUGUAAGUCUGAUGUGAAAAUGCAGGGCUCAACUCUGUAUUGCGUUGGAAACUGUGUAACUAGAGUACUGGAGAGGUAAGCGGAACUACAAGUGUAGAGGUGAAAUUCGUAGAUAUUUGUGGGAAUGCCGAUGGGGAAGCCAGCUUACUGGACAGAUACUGACGCUAAAGCGCGAAAGCGUGGGUAACAAACAGGAUUAGAUACCCCCGUAGUCCCUGUCUCUUAUACA